rnacentral:rRNA from 1 species
CAUGCAAGUCGAGGGGCAGCGGGAUUGAAGCUUGCUUCAAUUGCCGGCGACCGGCGCACGGGUGAGUAACGCGUAUCCAACCUUCCGUACACUCAGGGAUAGCCUUUCGAAAGAAAGAUUAAUACCUGAUGGUAUGAUGAGAUUGCAUGAUAGCAUCAUUAAGGAUUCAUCGGUGUACGAUGGGGAUGCGUUCCAUUAGGUAGUAGGCGGGGUAACGGCCCACCUAGCCUACGAUGGAUAGGGGUUCUGAGAGGAAGGUCCCCCACAUUGGAACUGAGACACGGUCCAAACUCCUACGGGAGGCAGCAGUGAGGAAUAUUGGUCAAUGGACGAGAGUCUGAACCAGCCAAGUAGCGUGAAGGAUGAAGGUCCUACGGAUUGUAAACUUCUUUUAUAAGGGAAUAAAACCUCCCACGUGUGGGAGCUUGUAUGUACCUUAUGAAUAAGCAUCGGCUAACUCCGUGCCAGCAGCCGCGGUAAUACGGAGGAUGCGAGCGUUAUCCGGAUUUAUUGGGUUUAAAGGGAGCGCAGACGGGUCGUUAGGUCAGCUGUGAAAGUUUGGGGCUCAACCUUAAAAUUGCAGUUGAUACUGGCGUCCUUGAGUGCGGUUGAGGUGUGCGGAAUUCGUGGUGUAGCGGUGAAAUGCUUAGAUAUCACGAAGAACUCCGAUUGCGAAGGCAGCACACUAAGCCGUAACUGACGUUCAUGCUCGAAAGUGUGGGUAUCAAACAGGAUUAGAUACCCUGGUAGUCCACACGGUAAA